AGUCGACGAUGAAUCUUCUAGCUUGCUAGAAGUGGAUUAGUGGCGCACGGCUGUAGUAAUGCAUAGGUUAUGUGCCCUUUAGUCUGGGAUAGCCACUGGAAACGGUGAUUAAUACUGGAUACUCCCUACGGGGGAAAGUUUUUCGCUAAAGGAUCAGCCUAUGUCCUAUCAGCUUGUUGGUGAGGUAAUGGCUCACCAAGGCUAUGACGGGUAUCCGGCCUGAGAGGGUGAUCGGACACACUGGAACUGAGACACGGUCCAGACUCCUACGGGAGGCAGCAGUAGGGAAUAUUGCUCAAUGGGGGAAACCCUGAAGCAGCAACGCCGCGUGGAGGAUGAAGGUUUUAGGAUUGUAAACUCCUUUUGUUAGAGAAGAUUAUGACGGUAUCUAACGAAUAAGCACCGGCUAACUCCGUGCCAGCAGCCGCGGUAAUACGGAGGGUGCAAGCGUUACUCGGAAUCACUGGGCGUAAAGAGUGCGUAGGCGGGGUAAUAAGUCAGAUGUGAAAUCCUGUAGCUUAACUACAGAACUGCAUUUGAAACUGUUACUCUGGAGUGUGGGAGAGGUAGGUGGAAUUCUUGGUGUAGGGGUAAAAUCCGUAGAGAUCAAGAGGAAUACUCAUUGCGAAGGCGACCUGCUGGAACAUUACUGACGCUGAUGCACGAAAGCGUGGGGAGCAAACAGGAUUAGAUACCCUGGUAGUCCACGCCCUAAACGAUGGAUGCUAGUUGUUGCCUUGCUUGUCAGGGCAGUAAUGCAGCUAACGCAUUAAGCAUCCCGCCUGGGGAGUACGGUCGCAAGAUUAAAACUCAAAGGAAUAGACGGGGACC
rnacentral:rRNA from 1 species